rnacentral:rRNA from 1 species
AGUGAACGCUGGCGGUAGGCCUAACACAUGCGAGUCGAACGGCAGCACAGUAAGAGCUUGCUCUUACGGGUGGCGAGUGGCGGACGGGUGAGGAAUACAUCGGAAUCUACUUUUUCGUGGGGGAUAACGUAGGGAAACUUACGCUAAUACCGCAUACGACCUACGGGUGAAAGCAGGGGAUCUUCGGACCUUGCGCGAUUGAAUGAGCCGAUUUCGGAUUAGCUAGUUGGCGGGGUAAAGGCCCACCAAGGCGACGAUCCGUAGCUGGUCUGAGAGGAUGAUCGGCCACACUGGAACUGAGACACGGUCCAGACUCCUACGGGAGGCAGCAGUGGGGAAUAUUGGACAAUGGGCGCAAGCCUGAUCCAGCCAUACCGCGUGGGUGAAGAAGGCCUUCGGGUUGUAAAGCCCUUUUGUUGGGAAAGAAAAGCAGCAGGUUAAUACCCCGCUGUUCUGACGGUACCCAAAGAAUAAGCACCGGCUAACUUCGUG